rnacentral:rRNA from 1 species
UACGGAGGGUGCGAGCGUUGUCCGGAAUCACUGGGCGUAAAGGGCGCGUAGGCGGCGCGGGGAGUCAACGGUGAAAGCUCGGCGCUCAACGCCGAGUCGGCCGUCGAUACUCCCGUGCUCGAGCACUGUAGAGGCAGGUGGAAUUCCGGGUGUAGCGGUGGAAUGCGUAGAGAUCCGGAAGAACACCAGUGGCGAAGGCGGCCGGCUGGGGGCGCCCUGACGCUGAGGCGCGAGAGCGUGGGGAGCGAACCGG